UACGUAGGUGGCAAGCGUUUACUCGGAAUCACUAGGCGUAAAGCGCAGGUAGGCGGUUUGGAAAGUCUGUUGUGAAAGCUCCCGGCUUAACUGGGAGAGGUCAACGGAUACUUCUAGACUAGAGUGUGGUAGAGGAAACUGGAAUUCCCGGUGGUAGCGGUGAAAUGCGUAGAUAUCGGGAGGAACACCUAUGGCGAAAGCAGGUUUCUGGGCCAUCACUGACGCUGAGCUGCGAAAGCUAGGGGAGCAAACAGG
rnacentral:rRNA from 1 species